rnacentral:rRNA from 1 species
UACAGAGGUCUCAAGCGUUGUUCGGAUUCAUUGGGCGUAAAGGGUGCGUAGGUGGCGAGGUAAGUUGGAUGUGAAAUCCUGGGGCUCAACCCCAGAACUGCAUUCAAUACUGCCUUGCUAGAGUACUGGAGAGGAGAUUGGAAUUUACGGUGUAGCAGUGAAAUGCGUAGAUAUCGUAAGGAAGACCAGUGGCGAAGGCGGAUCUCUGGACAGUUACUGACACUGAGGCA